CAGUCGCCGCGGUAAUACGAAGGGGGCUAGCGUUGCUCGGAAUGACUGGGCGUAAAGGGCGCGUAGGCGGCUCAUACAGUCAGGCGUGAAAGUCCUGGGCUCAACCUGGGGUGGUCGCUUGAGACGUGUGGGCUAGAGUGGGGAAGAGGGUCGUGGAAUUCCCAGUGUAGAGGUGAAAUCCGUAGAUAUUGGGAAGAACACCGGUGGCGAAGGCGGCGACCUGGUCCUUGACUGACGCUGAGGCGCGAAAGCGUGGGGAGCAAACAGGAUUAGAUACCCCCGUAGUCCCUGUCUCUUAUAC
rnacentral:rRNA from 1 species